UACAGAGGUGGCAAGCGUUGUUCGGAAUCACUGGGCGUAAAGCGCACGUAGGCGGAUUGCUAAGUCAGGGGUGAAAUCCUGGAGCUCAACUCCAGAACUGCCUUUGAUACUGGCGACCUUGAGUCCGGGAGAGGUGAGUGGAACUGCGAGUGUAGAGGUGAAAUUCGUAGAUAUUCGCAAGAACACCAGUGGCGAAGGCGGCUCACUGGCCCGGUACUGACGCUGAGGUGCGAAAGCGUGGGGAGCAAACAGG
rnacentral:rRNA from 1 species